rnacentral:rRNA from 1 species
CCGGGAUAAGCCCACGAGGUCUAUGGAUCUUGCGGGAAAAGGGGGGACCUUCGGGCCUUCUGUCAUCAGAUGAGUCCGCGUACCAUUAGCUAGUUGGCGGGGUAAAGGCCCACCAAGGCGACGAUGGUUAGCUGGUUUGAGAGAAUGAUCAGCCACACUGGAACUGAGACACGGUCCAGACUCCUACGGGAGGCAGCAGUGGGGAAUUUUGCGCAAUGGGCGAAAGCCUGACGCAGCAACGCCGCGUGAGUGAUGAAGGCCUUCGGGUCGUAAAGCUCUGUCAAGAGGGAAGAAAUGUAUACUGGCUAAUACCCAGUAUGCUUGACGGUACCUCUGGAGGAAGCACCGGCUAACUCCGUGCCAGCAGCCGCGGUAA